UUCCUUAUGGUUUCUUUUGAGUCAUACCGCCGAGGGAAUCAGCUCCGCCAAUAAAAGCCCUGCGAAGAGCAAUAGGCCACACUGCCACCGCCUGUUCCCUUGCUGGAACGGCACGGCUAAACGCGUUCUGCUGUCGCUGCUUCCGAGGAAGGUAAAACUUGCAGCGUGGAUUUGGAGAUUACACUGGGAGGAGGAAGGUGUUUGGAAAAAAAUGGCUCUAUCUUCUCAGAAUACAGGCUAUAUUCCACAGCUUUGAAGAAAGAAGAACAAAGAGAGGAUGCCGUGAAGAGAGCUUUCCAAUUUCUUCUUGAGCUAUUUGGCUUCACAGCUAUUGAAUGGUGCCCUUCUUAAACUGCAAAUAUUCUGAACUGGGGAUUCCUUCAUCACUAUAUUUUUUUCAUGAGUUUCUUCAAAUCUUCUUGACCUUCUUUUAGAAAAUUUGAAAACAGCAUCCUUUAGUAUGGUUUCUAGACUAACCUUUCCAAAUGAAGGGAGAAAUUUCAGUUUAUUGGAAAUAAAUUCAGGAAGGUAUUUUGCUGAGAUUUCA
rnacentral:lncRNA from 14 species